rnacentral:tRNA from 1 species
GGUGGGAUGCCGGAGUGGCCUAACGGGCUGGUUUCGAAAACCAAGCGUUCCGUAAGGAACACGGGGGUUCGAAUCCCUCUCCCACCG